rnacentral:rRNA from 1 species
UAGGGAAUUUUCCGCAAUGGGCGAAAGCCUGACGGAGCAACGCCGCGUGCAGGAGGAAGGCCCUAGGGUCGUAAACUGCUUUUAUCUGCGACGAUUUUGAUGGUAGCAGAAGAAUAAGGAUCGGCUAAUUCCGUGCCAGCAGCCGCGGUCAUACGGAAGAUCCGAGCGUUAUCCGGAAUUACUGGGCGUAAAGAGUUGCGUAGGUGGCAUAGUAAGCGAGCAGUGAAAGACUCCGGCUCAACCGGAGGUACAUUGUUCGAACUACUAAGCUAGAACAUAGUAGAGGUACCUGGAAUUCCAAGUGUAGGAGUGAAGUCCGUAGAUAUUUGGAGGAACACCGAUGGCGUAGGCAGGGUACUGGGCUAUUGUUGACACUAAGGCACGAAAGCGUGGGGAGCGAACGGG